GACGAACGCUGGCGGCGUGCCUAAUACAUGCAAGUAGAACGCACAGUUUAUACCGUAGCUUGCUACACCAUAAACUGUGAGUUGCGAACGGGUGAGUAACGCGUAGGUAACCUGCCUGGUAGCGGGGGAUAACUAUUGGAAACGAUAGCUAAUACCGCAUAAUAUUAAUUAUUGCAUGAUAAUUGAUUGAAAGAUGCAAUUGCAUCACUACCAGAUGGACCUGCGUUGUAUUAGCUAGUAGGUGAGGUAACUGCUCACCUAGGCGACGAUACAUAGCCGACCUGAGAGGGUGAUCGGCCACACUGGGACUGAGACACGGCCCAGACUCCUACGGGAGGCAGCAGUAGGGAAUCUUCGGCAAUGGACGAAAGUCUGACCGAGCAACGCCGCGUGAGUGAAGAAGGUUUUCGGAUCGUAAAGCUCUGUUGUAAGAGAAGAACGGGUGUGAGAGUGGAAAGUUCACACUGUGACGGUAUCUUACCAGAAAGGGACGGCUAACUACGUG
rnacentral:rRNA from 1 species